CCCUGAGCCUCGGAAUAGAUCCGGCCCAACUAGGAUGGACAUAGGGGCAAUGGCCGAGACACCCAUGUGAUUUAUUUUCCUAAGCUUGAGAAUAGACCCGACCUAACUAAAUAUUUUUUAGUUAUACAUAAAAUGGAUCCAAAUUUAAUAGAAAAAUGACUUAAGCCCAAAAAUUUUACUAGAAAAAUCUAAAUUUUAGCUUUUUUAAAAAAAUAAAAAAGUAAGAACUUGAAAAUAUAUAUUUGUUUUUGCUAAAAAAUAAAUACAAGGGCCAUAAAAAGUUUUUGCCCAAGGAUCCCUAUUUAUAUUGGGUCAGGGCUGCUUGCAUGAGUAUAUCACAAUGACACAAUAAAAAAAAAAAACAAAUCCAUCAAUCGCAAAAAUCCAUCUCCCCAACCCAACUCUCGCUCAAAAUCUCAUCCCUCAACAGAUCUAUGAUGAUACAUCUUGAGUAGAGUCACCCAGAUACAUAUUCCAAAUUUCUUGCCAUUAACAACCCAUCAAAUCCUUUCUUAGCCUCAAGCAGAUCCAAAUUUUUUCUACAAAAAUAAGAAAUUUCUUUGAUCCAUGAUUAACCAAAUCGAAAUACCACCAACUAACCAUCCCCAAUCUACUAGCCAAAUCAAUUUCCUCACAAGAAUACCAAGAGAUAGAUUAAACUUAAUCUCCAUUUCCAAACCUAAUCUUCUGUGUCGCCGUCAUCGAAUGCAUGCAUUGGUUUUUUAGACGAAAGUAUCUUUCUGAUAACUUAAUGAAAUUGAUUUUUCACAAGUUGCAGUCAUUGGCCAAUUCUGUUACUUUCGUUGAUCAGUUUGUUUUCAUCUCAAAUAAUCAAGCCUAUGGCAAGUACAUAUAAGGUCAUCUGCAACGCCGGACCACUCCCAUGUUCUUAGCAGUUUUUUAAUCCAAAAAAAUGGGCUAAUGGACUUAAGAUCAGGAACUGGGCUCUAGUCCUGGAUCUGUUCUUGUGGGUGUUGCGGGGUGACGUGUCAUUUCGGGAUUGGUUGGAAAAAUUAGGAAAGGAAACAACAGAUUCAUUUUUUGAGAUUUUUUUUUGUCCUUUUGUCAGUUAAUAAAAAGAGUGUUGUUCGUUAAA